UACGGAGGGGGCUAGCGUUGUUCGGAAUUACUGGGCGUAAAGCGCACGUAGGCGGACCGGAAAGUCAGAGGUGAAAUCCCAGGGCUCAACCUUGGAACGGCCUUUGAAACUCCUGGUCUUGAGUUCGAGAGAGGUGAGUGGAAUUCCGAGUGUAGAGGUGAAAUUCGUAGAUAUUGGGAAGAACACCAGUGGCGAAGGCGGCCCGCUGGGCAGUGGCUGACGCUGAGGCGCGACAGCGUGGGGAGCAAACAGG
rnacentral:rRNA from 1 species